rnacentral:rRNA from 1 species
UACGAAGGGGGCUAGCGUUGCUCGGAAUCACUGGGCGUAAAGCGCACGUAGGCGGAUUGCUAAGUCAGGGGUGAAAUCCUGGAGCUCAACUCCAGAACUGCCUUUGAUACUGGCGAUCUUGAGUCCGGGAGAGGUGAGUGGAACUGCGAGUGUAGAGGUGAAAUUCGUAGAUAUUCGCAAGAACACCAGUGGCGAAGGCGGCUCACUGGCCCGGUACUGACGCUGAGGUGCGAAAGCGUGGGGAGCAAAGCAG